AAUAGAUACCCCGGUAGUCCUGGCCCUAAACCAUGGGCACUGGGUAGGGGAUUCGCCGAUGGAUUCCCUGCCGCAGCGAAAGCGUGAAGUGCCCCGCCUGGGGAGUAUGGUCGCAAGGCUGAAACUCAAAGGAAUUGACGGGGGCUCACACAAGCGGUGGGGCAUGUGGCUUAAUUCGAGGCUACGCGCAAAACCUUAUCCCGGGCUUGACAUGCACGGAUUAGCCGGCGGAAACGUCGGCGAGGCCGCAAGGUACAACGUGCACAGGUGCUGCAUGGCUGUCAUCAGCUCGUGCCGUGAGGUGUUGGGUUAAGUCCCGUAACGAGCGAAACCCCUGUCCCUAGUUGCCAGCACGUCAUGGUGGGAACUCUAGGGAGACCGCCGGCGUCAAGCCGGAGGAAGGCGGGGAUGACGUCAAGUCCUCAUGGCCCUUAUGCCCGGGGCCGCACACGUGCUACAAUGGGGCGCAACAGAGCGACGCCAGGCCGCAAGGUCGAGCCAAUCGCCAAAACCGCCCCCAGUUCGGAUCGCGGGCUGCC
rnacentral:rRNA from 1 species